rnacentral:snRNA from 1 species
UGUCGAUGCCAAAAGAGAAAGAG